rnacentral:rRNA from 1 species
UACGUAGGGGGCUAGCGUUGUCCGGAAUCAUUGGGCGUAAAGGGCGCGUAGGCGGCUUUCUAAGUCGGGGGUGAAAUCCUGGAGCUCAACUCCAGAACUGCCUUCGAUACUGGAAAGCUCGAGUCCGGGAGAGGUGAGUGGAACUGCGAGUGUAGAGGUGAAAUUCGUAGAUAUUCGCAAGAACACCAGUGGCGAAGGCGGCUCACUGGCCCGGUACUGACGCUGAGGUGCGAAAGCGUGGGGAGCAAACAGGG